AGCUAAUAGAUACCCGGGUAGUCCACGCCCUAAACGAUGUCUACUAGUUGUUGGUGGAGUAAAAUCCAUGAGUAAACGCAGCUAAACGCGUGAAGUAGACCGCCUGGGGAGUACGGUCGCAAGAUUAAAAACUCAAAGGAAUUGACGGGGGCCCGCACAAGCGGUGGAUUAUGUGGAUUAAAUUCGAUGCAACGCGAAAAACCUUACCUGGCCUUGACAUGCCACUAACGAAGCAGAGAUGCAUUAGGUGCCCGUAAGGGAAAGUGGACACAGGUGCUGCAUGGCUGUCGUCAGCUCGUGUCGUGAGAUGUUGGGUUAAGUCCCGCAACGAGCGCAACCCUUGCCAUUAAUUGCCAUCAUUUAGUUGGGCACUUUAAUGGGACUGCCGGUGACAAACCGGAGGAAGGUGGGGAUGACGUCAAGUCCUCAUGGCCCUUAUGGCCAGGGCUUCACACGUAAUACAAUGGUCGGUACAGAGAGUUGCCAACCCGCGAGGGGGUAGCUAAUCUCAGAAACGCCGAUCGUAGUCCGGAUUGUUCUCUGC
rnacentral:rRNA from 1 species